UAGCUCUGGCUUCCCUUCAUAACGCUUAAAUCUUUCGCCUUUUACUAAAGAUUUCCGUGGAGGGGAGCAACUCAAUGAGGUCUGGUAAACCCAGUUUUUACUGUGGUCUACUUCCCAGUAGGA